rnacentral:rRNA from 1 species
AACAGGAUUAGAUACCCUGGUAGUCCACGCCGUAAACGAUGAGCACUAGGUGUCGGGGUCGCAAGAUUUCGGUGCCGUAGUUAACGCAUUAAGUGCUCCGCCUGGGGAGUACGUUCGCAAGAAUGAAACUCAAAGGAAUUGACGGGGACCCGCACAAGCAGCGGAGCAUGUGGUUUAAUUCGAAGCAACGCGAAGAACCUUACCAGGACUUGACAUCCCUCUGACAGGACCUUAACCGGUCCCUCCUUCGGGCAGAAGAGACAGGUGGUGCAUGGUUGUCGUCAGCUCGUGUCGUGAGAUGUUGGGUUAAGUCCCGCAACGAGCGCAACCCUUGUCAUUAGUUGCCAUCAUUAAGUUGGGCACUCUAGUGAGACUGCCGGGGAUAACUCGGAGGAAGGUGGGGAUGACGUCAAAUCAUCAUGGCCCUUAUGGGUAGGGCUUCACACGUCAUACA